rnacentral:lncRNA from 10 species
GUGUUAUAAUCAUGUGAAAAAUCGUUCUUUUUCUUAAUUUUUUUCAGGAUUGCUACUCCUUGUUUAAAUGUUCAUAUCUUUCCUCUUCAAUGACCAUUUUUCUCGUACAUUUCUUCUUUCCUUUGUAUAUCAGGUAGGCGAAUUAAACUUUUCUUUCUUUUUUUUCUCAUUUUUUAUAUACACUCUCUUUUGCUCUCACAGUAAGACAAAAAAUAUAUUUUGCCAGAGAAUAUUGUAAUUUUUGUAUGCUUACAUACAUUGUUGUUUUUAAUGUUCACUUUGGUUUCCAUUAUUAUCCCCAUUUUUCAGAUAUAUAUUCAUGAAGAGAGAAAAAAUUUCCUUCU